rnacentral:rRNA from 4 species
AGAGUUUGAUCCUGGCUCAGGAUGAACGCUGGCGGCGUGCUUAACACAUGCAAGUCGAACGAGCCUUCGGGCUAGUGGCGGACGGGUGAGUAACGCGUGGGAAUCUGCCCUCAGGAGGGGGAUAACGGCCGGAAACGGCCGCUAAUACCCCAUAUGCCGAGAGGUGAAAUGAAUUUCGCCUGAGGAUGAGCCCGCGUCUGAUUAGCUAGUUGGUGGGGUAAUGGCCCACCAAGGCGACGAUCAGUAGCUGGUCUGAGAGGAUGAUCAGCCACACUGGGACUGAGACACGGCCCAGACUCCUACGGGAGGCAGCAGUGGGGAAUUUUCCGCAAUGGGCGAAAGCCUGACGGAGCAACGCCGCGUGAGGGAUGAAGGCCUCUGGGCUGUAAACCUCUUUUCUCAAGGAAGAAGACAUGACGGUACUUGAGGAAUAAGCCACGGCUAAUUCCGUGCCAGCAGCCGCGGUAAUACGGGAGUGGCAAGCGUUAUCCGGAAUUAUUGGGCGUAAAGCGUCCGCAGGCGGCCUUGUAAGUCUGUCGUUAAAGCGUGGAGCUUAACUCCAUUUAAGCGAUGGAAACUACAAGGCUUGAGUGUGGUAGGGGCAGAGGGAAUUCCCGGUGUAGCGGUGAAAUGCGUAGAUAUCGGGAAGAACACCAGUGGCGAAGGCGCUCUGCUGGGCCAUAACUGACGCUCAUGGACGAAAGCCAGGGGAGCGAAAGGGAUUAGAUACCCCUGUAGUCCUGGCCGUAAACGAUGAACACUAGGUGUCGGGGGAAUCGACCCCCUCGGUGUCGUAGCUAACGCGUUAAGUGUUCCGCCUGGGGAGUACGCACGCAAGUGUGAAACUCAAAGGAAUUGACGGGGGCCCGCACAAGCGGUGGAGUAUGUGGUUUAAUUCGAUGCAACGCGAAGAACCUUACCAGGGUUUGACAUCCUGCGAAUCCCUUGGAAACGAGGGAGUGCCUUCGGGAGCGCAGAGACAGGUGGUGCAUGGCUGUCGUCAGCUCGUGUCGUGAGAUGUUGGGUUAAGUCCCGCAACGAGCGCAACCCACGUCUUUAGUUGCCAGCAUUCAGUUGGGCACUCUAGAGAGACCGCCGGUGAUAAACCGGAGGAAGGUGUGGAUGACGUCAAGUCAUCAUGCCCCUUACAUCCUGGGCUACACACGUACUACAAUGCUACGGACAAAGGGUUGCAAGCUCGCGAGAGUUAGCUAAUCCCAUAAACCGUGGCUCAGUUCAGAUCGUAGGCUGCAACUCGCCUACGUGAAGGAGGAAUCGCUAGUAAUCGCAGGUCAGCAUACUGCGGUGAAUACGUUCCCGGGCCUUGUACACACCGCCCGUCACACCAUGGAAGUUGGCCAUGCCCGAAGUCGUUACUCCAACCCUUGUGGAGGAGGACGCCGAAGGUGGGGCUGAUGACUGGGGUGAAGUCGUAACAAGGUAGCCGUACCGGAAGGUGCGGCUGGAUCACCUCCUAA